GCACAAGCGGUGGAGCAUGUGGUUUAAUUCGAUGCAACGCGAAGAACCUUACCUGGGCUUGACAUCCCGGGAACUCCUUGGAAACAAGGGAGUGCCCUUCGGGGAACCUGGAGACAGGUGCUGCAUGGCUGUCGUCAGCUCGUGUCGUGAGAUGUAGGGUUAAGUCCCGCAACGAGCGCAACCCUUGUCUUUAAUUGCCAUCAUUGAGUUGGGCACUUUAAAGAGACUGCCGGUGUUAAACCGGAGGAAGGUGGGGGAUGACGUCAAGUUCUCAUGGCCCUUAUAGGUGGGGCUACACACGUCAUACAAUGGAUGGUACAAAGGGUCGCCAACCCGCGAGGGGGAGCCAAUCCCAGAAAGCCGAUCGUAGUCCGGAUUGUUCUCUGCAACUCGAGAGCAUGAAGUCGGAAUCGCUAGUAAUCGCGGAUCAGCAUGUCGCGGUGAAUACGUUCCCGGGUCUU
rnacentral:rRNA from 1 species